GGUUGAUCCUGCCAGUAGUCAUACGCUAAUCUCAAAGAUUAAGCCAUGCACGUCUAAGUAUAGCAUUAUACAGUGAAACUGCGAAUGGCUCAUUAAAUCAGUUAUAGUUUAUUUGAUGUUAAACACUUACUUGGAUAUCUGUAGUAAUUCUAGAGUCAAUACAUGCUAAAAAGCCACUAGCAAUAGUGGCUGCAUUUAUGACUUUGUAACCCAAUUCAUUGGUGAUACUACAUAACUUCGCUGAUUGAUCUCACGAUCAAUAUGUCAUUCAAGUUUCUGCCCUAUCAGCUUG
rnacentral:rRNA from 1 species